rnacentral:lncRNA from 1 species
CUCGCUGUCACGGUCGCGGUAUUGGCCGCGGGCACCGGGGAGCCUCGGGAGACCCGGGAGCCACCGAACGUGACGCCCGGUCGGUGAUCGCCCCAAGUGGGAGCGCGCCCUCCCGGGACCGCCGGCUUGUGGAGGCGAGGCCGCUCCUGAGCCUGGCCAGCACCUUUCCCUCUGGCCUGUGACAGCUAAGAGCGGACACGAGGCAAUCUGCUAAGUGAAGCUUGGAAAUAGGGGUAGAAGUUUGGAAUUGAUUCCUUGGGAAGUAAGAGAAGGACCUGAUUGGAACCUAAGAAAGAAUCGA